UCCUACGGGAGGCAGCAGUGGGGAAUAUUGCACAAUGGGCGCAAGCCUGAUGCAGCCAUGCCGCGUGUAUGAAGAAGGCCUUCGGGUUGUAAAGUACUUUCAGCGGGGAGGAAGGGAGUGAGGUUAAUAACCUCAUUCAUUGACGUCACCCGCAGAAGAAGCACCGGCUAACUCCGUGCCAGCAGCCGCGGUAAU
rnacentral:rRNA from 1 species